ACUUUCCAAAUUGUGAGGUUUAUCUCCAACUUCAUCCCAACCCAAGAUGCAGCAGGACAAUUCCUUUGGGGAGAAGGAGUCUACUCCUCCUCAUGCACCAAAUUUGUCUUGUAUUCCUUGGACACAGCAGAUCCUGAGAGAAGCACAGUGUACCCUGCCACCCCGAACUGGAGCAGGGGCUGCAGAUGUCAUAACUGGUGGCUCCUCUGUUUGCUGGGACUGGAAACAGCCUGUGAUUUGGAAAGCUGUGGGAUGCGUGGAAGAAGCAGCUCACUCAAAUCCACAGAGCACAAUAAAAGUGGAAACAAGAAGCACCUGGGAGUUGCACCUGCCUGAGAGGAAGAACAACCUGGGACUGGUGCCCGAAUUCUACCUUACAAACUGGGCAAAGGACUCCCAAGUUACACCUGCAGUGUGAGUGAAGCUGCCAUCUGACCAUGUGGGAAUCAAUGACAACUGUCUUUACAUGCCUUUGUAUAACCAUCAUAGAAGAAUGUAGAAAUAGAGCUGAGAGGAGGCCAGAGAAGCCUGAAAUAAGAAAAGCCCAAACCUGUGCUGGUUUCCGCUGGUGGAGAUUCCCCAUCUUCCAAAGUAAUCUUUUUUCAGUGCUUUAUUAGACUUAACACAAGAAAGAUCAUUGCUGGGCAUCCCCUUCUUUGUUUCUUGCCCUGAUCAAGUCAUGCAAGUUCCUGCAGCCUUUCCUCAAGAACCGUGUUUUCUAUACUUGUCUCCUAUGGAUUCUUCAGGUAUUCCACAUCCUCCCUUAAUUAAAGCACCAGAAACUGGACAUGAUCCCCCAGCUGAGUCAUCUGCUGCUCUUAUCUAGAUCAGGGAAGAAGGAAUAUGCCAACACUCUUGUUUAUUCAGCUGUGAUGGUAGAAAAAUAUUUUUCUAUUCAUUACUCAGCAGUAUGUUCCUUACUCAUUCUGUCAGAGGUACCAUUUCAUCCUGAGAUAAAGGAAGGAGUCAAACCAUUUUGUUCAUCUCUUCCAGACAAAAUAGUCUCAUCAUUUUUGCUUACUCAUACCCUUACUAAAGUUAAGAUACAUCUUUCUGCUGUUCUCCCCUAUCCACAGUUCCUGUCACAGAAGCAUAUAGAUUUGAUAUGAUUUGUUCUUGAUAGACCCAUACUGGUUGUCACUCACCUUGUAGUUAACUUCUGAAGGCUCAACGAUUGCUUCCUCUGCCCCCUCAUAAUUUGAAAAAAUAGUAAGAGGCAAUACAUUUAUCUCUGUACUCCAUGAUUCCUCAAAGAUGACAGCUAAUAGUUCUGGCAUUGCUUCAGACGCUUCUCUUAGUAUCCUAGGAGGAAUUUCAUCAAGUCCAGCUGAUUUGAAAACAUCCAACAUAUCUAACUCUCUGCCAUGAUACUGCUUGGUCUGGCAGCAAAUUGAAAACAUUCUCAGACAUUCUUAGCAAAAUGAAGGCCCUAGAUAGAAUUCUGUAACAAAAAUAUUCCUUUACCACAUGAAAAAAAAAAAAAAAAAAAAAAAAA